ACUAAAUAGAUACCCUGGUAGUCCACGCCCUAAACGAUGUCAACUGGGUGUUGGGGAAGCGAUUCCUUGGUACCGUAGCUAAACGCGUGAGGUUGACCGCCUGGGGAGUACGGCCGCAAGGUUAAAACUCAAAGGAAUUGACGGGGACCCGCACAAGCGGUGGAUGAUGUGGAUUAAUUCGAUGCAACGCGAACAACCUUACCUACCCUUGACAUGUCCGAGAGCCCGCUGAGAGGUGGGUGUGCCCGAAAGGGAAUUGGAACACAGGUGCUGCAUGGCUGUCGUCAGCUCGUGUCGUGAGAUGUUGGGUUAAGUCCCGCAACGAGCGCAACCCUUGUCCCUAGUUGCUACGCAAGGGCACUCUAGGGAGACUGCCGGUGACAAACCGGAGGAAGGUGGGGAUGACGUCAAGUCCUCAUGGCCCUUAUGGGUAGGGCUUCACACGUCAUACAAUGGACGGUACAGAGGGUAGCCAACCCGGCGAGGGGGUAGCCAAUCCCAGAAAGCCGUUCGUAGUCCGGAUUGCAGUCUGCAACUCGACUGCAUGAAGUC
rnacentral:rRNA from 1 species